CCCAGUGGCUAAGUAGUAGUGCCGCAGGUAGCGAUAAUGAGUUUACCUGCACACGACUACUUAUCUAAAAGG
rnacentral:pre_miRNA from 1 species